rnacentral:lncRNA from 1 species
ACUUCCGACACUGCCAGACCAUCAAACCUGCAAUCUUGUUUCUCCAAAAUUCUUGUUUCUCCAAAAUUGGUUCCCAAUUCGCAAUCCAAUCAUCUCUCAUUUCGUCCACAUAUAUAUCCUCAUAUAUAUAUAUAUAUAUAUAUAUAUAUAUAUAUAUAAGUAUUAUAUAAGUUAUAUAUAAUCAAAAUCAGAUUCAAAUUCAAAUUUAAAUUCAAAAUUCAAAUUCAAAUCUCGGAUCUUACAUCAUCCCUUCCUUAUAAGAAGUUUCGUCCCCAAAACUUAGUGACUCAGCUCUCCUAAACAACUGAGGAUACCACUCCCGCAUAACAGACUCAAGCUCCUAGAUAGCUUCAUGCUCCUCGUGGUUCUCCCAUAGAACCUUCAUAUACGCAAUACUUUGAUUCCACAAUAGCUUCACCUUACAUGCCAAGAUUCGCAACAGAACCACUUCAUAAAUCAGAUCCUCUCGCA